rnacentral:rRNA from 1 species
UACGGGGGGGGGCAAGCGUUGUUCGGAAUUACUGGGCGUAAAGGGCGCGUAGGCGGCCUUCUAAGUCGAACGUGAAAUCCCCGGGCUCAACCCGGGAACUGCGUCCGAUACUGGAAGGCUUGAAUCCGGGAGAGGGAUGCGGAAUUCCAGGUGUAGCGGUGAAAUGCGCAGAUAUCAGGAGGAACACCGGUGGCGAAGGCGGUUCUCUGGGCCGAUACUGACGCUGAGGAGCGAAAGCGUGGGGAGCGAACAGG